GACGCUUAGCGCCGCUGUCCAUCAGGAUUGUGGCACAGCUGAAGUCUAAUGCACAAGGGUCACGGGUUCAACUCUUGUCUGUCCGAAUGGCGUGCAUUAGAGACUUGUACAAAGAGGAAACGUCAGAUUGUGCCAUCGACACACGCAGCUCUUCCUCUGAAGGCUCCGAGUCACACGUGGCCUCGGUCUGACUCAUCGCUCAUGUGGGAGUUUGAUUUCUAUUUAUCGCUGAGCUGAGGAGCAGGACCAAAGAGACGAACCUCCAUGAGACAGAGUCCCAUCGGAGCCACGCUCUACUUCUGUGACACGGGAGGGAAAUCAUCCCGCAGGGAGUCCCACCACGAUACUUAUAUCGACGUGGAAUUGAUCAGUGGAGCGGCCGUCUCUGCAACAUCCUGAUAGGUAGAAUGUCCCGAACAAAGAUGGACGACGCCUCGCUGGAAAUCAAGCUGGACGUGAACGAGUCUGCGCUGUAGCGAUCGGAGGAUGGAGCCACGGUACCGACGUCCCGCUGAUACUCGCCGAUGGUCAGUCCCACCUGUCGAACAUGUUCACUUGAAGAUAAGAACUACCUGAACUGACAGAAACCAUCUUUUAGAAAAGAUUCUCCGACGUGUACUUUGACUCUUUGUCAUGCAGAGUUAAUGUAAACAACAAAUAUCGUUAUCCACCAUUUCUUUUCAUUUUACAACCAGAACAACAUCAGUGACUAAACAAAGGAAGUGCUUCCACAUUCCACACAUUACUGCAAUUUCAUUCGAAGCCACAAGAUGGCGGUAAAGCUUUUCUACCACAGUUGAGCUGCAGCAUCACAAACCAGCAGAAACAAGACGUGUGAUUUAUGACACAUGUGAAACUUCACGUGCACGAACACAUAAGAAAGAGAGACUUGCUUAUUUUUGUUUGUGUUUAUUUAUUUCUAAUGUGUUUCAUUUUUAUUUCUUUUUUUUUAAUCUGUCCACAAAGUCAUAUUAGUCACUACUAUGUUAGAUCAGUUUUCCCUCACUGCAAUGGCAGUCAACUACACAAGAGCCCAAACCCAGCGUGGCCCCCUCAGCUCGCAGAGAUUUGUCACGUCUUCAGAAUUGUCACCGAUAAAUACUCGUCCGAUACGCACGUUAAAUAAUAAUCGUAUCCUUUUGGUUAAAACCACCUGAUUUAGAAUCAGGAGAAAAGGUGCAAUGUAUUCAAACAUCUGAAUAAUCAUACCGGCGCCACAUUCAGUUAAAAAGAAAUGUGCAAAAGUCUAUUUCAGCAGUUUUAAUAGAAGCUUCUAUUGAUUUUAUAGAUAUUUGUUGAGCUCAGAUGAGUUAAACUCACUGUUCAACACAGAAAAUCUUAAAAACUGGGUUCCUACUCUUUAAUUCAACUUUCAGUCGAGUGCUGCUUCAGCCUUUCACAGGAGUUUGUGGGGGGGGGCUGGAUUUCUGGGUCAAAUUAUUACAUUCAAGUCUCCGAAGAGAAAUGCGAUAUAAUAAAAAACAUAUCAUUGGAAAAUCCA